AGUCUAGGCGGUCAGGUAAGUGGGAUGUGAAAGCUCUCGGCUCACCCGAGAAUGUGCAUCUCAAACUGCCUGGCUUGAGUAUGGGAGAGGAUGAGGGAAUUCCUGGUGUAGCGGUGAAAUGCGUAGAUAUCAGGAGGAACACCGGUGGCGAAGGCGCUCAUCUGGCCCAAUACUGAGCUGAGACUCGAAAAGGCCAGGGGAGCAAACG
rnacentral:rRNA from 1 species